rnacentral:lncRNA from 1 species
UAGUUAAUUUCCAAAGCAUUGAAUUUAUUUUCUUUCACACUAGUUUCUACACCGGAAACUAUUGUGUAGUUUUUACUGGAUCUAACCUUACGUUAGAUCAUAGUAUUUUAUUCCUUCGCCUUUAUUUUACUGUCUGAUCGAAGAUUGUGAAGAACAAAUCCAACCGGUUUGUGGUGGAGUGUUCAAGCAUCGAAGCUAGGGAACAAUCAAGAUUUCUA